rnacentral:rRNA from 1 species
UACGUAGGGGGCAAGCGUUGUCCGGAAUCAUUGGGCGUAAAGCGCGCGUAGGCGGCCCGGUAAGUCCGCUGUGAAAGUCCAGGGCUCAACCCUGGAAAGCCGGUGGAUACUGCCGGGCUAGAGUCCGGAAGAGGCGAGUGGAAUUCCUGGUGUAGCGGUGAAAUGCGCAGAUAUCAGGAGGAACACCGGUGGCGAAGGCGGGUCUCUGGGCCGUAACUGACGCUGAGGAGCGAAAGCGUGGGGAGCGAACAGG